GAUGAACGCUGGCGGCGUGCCUAAUACAUGCAAGUCGAGCGACCAGACGAGGAGCUUGCUCCUCUGACGUUAGCGGCGGGCGGGUGGGUAACACGUAGAUAACCUACUUAUAAGACUGGGAGAACUUCGGGAAACCGGUGCUGAUAACAGCUAAUAUAUUGAACCGCUUAGUUCAAGAGUGAUUGGGGGUUUUGCUGGUACAUAUAGAUGGAUCCGCGCCGCAUUAGCUAGUUGGUAAGGUAACGGCUUACCAAGGCAACGAUGCGUAGCCGACCUGAGAGGGUGAUCGGCCACACUGGAACUGAGACACGGUCCAGACUCCUACGGGAGGCAGCAGUAGGGAAUCUUCCGCAAUGGGCGAAAGCCUGACGGAGCAACGCCGCGUGAGUGAUGAAGGUCUUCGGAUCGUAAAGCUCUGUUGUUAGGGAAGAACAAAUGUGUAAGUAACUAUACACGUCUUGACGGUACCUAAACAGAAAGCCACCGCUAACUACGUG
rnacentral:rRNA from 1 species